GGGAAUAUAGCUCAGCUGGUGGAGUGCUUGCCUCACAUGCAUAAGGCCCUAGGUUCAAUCCCCAGUACCA
rnacentral:tRNA from 1 species